rnacentral:lncRNA from 10 species
GGGAACUCCUGCUUAUUAUGAUGGAAGAUUAAAGUGUGGUGACAUGAUUGUGGCCGUAAAUGGGCUGUCAACCGUGGGCAUGAGCCACUCUGCACUAGUUCCCAUGUUGAAGGAGCAGAGGAACAAAGUCACUCUGACCGUUAUUUGUUGGCCUGGCAGCCUUGUAUAGAUUUUGGAAAUUGGUUUCAAAUCUUGCAUCUUCCUUUUUUAGAUUUUUGAAAGAAAACCCUUUGGUUUCAUUGUGUUUGUGGUUUAGGAGCUGCUGACACUGCUGGUAUACACAGGGCCAAAACCCACUAAGAUUGUCCGUUUAUGUUUAUUUAAAUGGUUUCCUAAGUUAGUUACAUUUCUUUUAGCUUGGAAACAGUCUUCCACUAACCUUUGUGAGUUUAUAUUUUCAGAAUUCAGACUUAGUUGUUAAAAUGUUACCUAUGGUAAUGAGCAAAGCUCACCCAAACUGUGCCCCAGAUGGAGUAAAGACCUUCUGGUGGGUCUUUGUUUUCAGUAACUGAAUCAUAGAACGAGUUCUGUAUCCCUCAGGCCUGAUGUCAGCAAAGCCAGUAACAACAGCGUGUACUGCCACUGUCAUAACCAAUACCAUGAAUGAAUAUACUUUAAAUUUUGGUGAUAACUGUUCCCCAUUUUUUUUUGAACCACAGUCUCACUCUCACCCAGGCUGGAGUGCAGUGGCACAAUCUCAGCUCACUGCAAGCUCCGCCUCCUGGGUUCACGCCAUUCUCCCACCUCAGCCUCCCGAGUAGCUGGGACUACAGGCGUGUGCCACCAUGCCCAGCUAAUUUUUUGUACUUUUAGUAGAGACGGGGUUUCACCGUGUUAGCCAGGAUGGUCUCGAUCUCCUGACCUUGUGAUCUGCCCGCCUCAGCCUCCCAAAGUGCUGGGAUUACAGGUGUGAGCUGCCGCACCCGGCCGUUCCCAUUUUUUAUUGGUGCCAACAUUUCAAA